GAAUUUCUAUGUUGUCAACAGCUGCUACAAAGGACCUGUAACUUUGUGAUAGUUUUCCAUAGGAGACAUAUUUUUCAAUAGGGUGUUUAGUGCAAGUUCUAAUCCCUUUUCUCGUAGCAAUAGGAAUAUCAAUAUCUAUUGUAUCAACAUGUUUAGAGUUAGGAAGAAUAUUACCUGUGGGAACUUCAUUUUCUAUGGUUUGACUCAUGGCCUUGCA
rnacentral:lncRNA from 1 species